GAUGAACGCUGGCGGCGUGCCUAAUACAUGCAAGUCGAGCGAAUGGAUUAAGAGCUUGCUCUUAUGAAGUUAGCGGCGGACGGGUGAGUAACACGUGGGUAACCUGCCCAUAAGACUGGGAUAACUCCGGGAAACCGGGGCUAAUACCGGAUAACAUUUUGAACAGCAUGGUUCGAAAUUGAAAGGCGGCUUCGGCUGUCACUUAUGGAUGGACCCGCAUCGCAUUAGAUAGUUGGUGAGGUAACGGCUCACCAAGGCAACGAUGCGUAGCCGACCUGAGAGGGUGAUCGGCCACACUGGGACUGAGACACGGCCCAGACUCCUACGGGAGGCAGCAGUAGGGAAUCUUCCGCAAUGGACGAAAGUCUGACGGAGCAACGCCGCGUGAGUGAUGAAGGCUUUCGGGUCGUAAAACUCUGUUGUUAGGGAAGAACAAGUGCUAGUUGAAUAAGCUGGCACCUUGACGGUACCUAACCAGAAAGCCACGGCUAACUACGUGCCAGCCGCCGCUGUAA
rnacentral:rRNA from 1 species